GAAAUGCGAUAAGUAGUGUGAAUUGCAGAAUUCAGUGAAUCAUCGAAUCUUUGAACGCACAUUGCGCCUUCCGGCAUUCCGGGAGGCAUGCCUGUUUGAGUAUCAUGAAAUCUUCAAAGUAAAUCUUUUGUUAACUCAAUUGGUUUCUACUUUGGUAUUGGAGGUCUUUGCAGCUUCACACCUGCUCCUCUUUGUUCAUUAGCUGGAUCUCAGUGUUAUGCUUGGUUCCACUCGGCGUGAUAAGUUAUCUAUCGCUGAGGACACUGUAAAAGGUGGCCAAGGUAAAUGCAGAUGAACCGCUUCUAAUAGUCCAUUGACUUGGACAAUACUUUUAUGAUCUGAUCUCAAAUCAGGUAGGACUACCCGCUGAACUUAAGC
rnacentral:misc_RNA from 1 species